rnacentral:rRNA from 1 species
UACGGAGGGAGCUAGCGUUGUUCGGAUAUACUGGGCGUAAAGCGCACGUAGGCGGCGUCGUAAGUCAGGGGUGAAAUCCCGGAGCUCAACUCCGGAACUGCCCUUGAAACUGCAAUGCUAGAAUCUUGGAGAGGCGAGUGGAAUUCCGAGUGUAGAGGUGAAAUUCGUAGAUAUUCGGAAGAACACCAGUGGCGAAGGCGGCUCACUGGUCCGGUACUGACGCUGAGGUGCGAAAGCGUGGGGAGCAAACAGG